CAUACCUUCGGGUGCGCAAGUUCGAAUCUUGUCCGUGUCGAAUUUUUUUUUUUCCCCUCACCUUCUCUUCCCCACAGGAUAUGCUUAUAUUGAACUGAGACAAUUUAUUUUUGAAGUCUAUUCUCUCUCUGUAUGAUAUGAUGUACAGUACAAUGUUAGCAUUAAAACUUUGUAGUGUGCUACUUACUACUACUACUACUACUACUACUCUUGAGCGCAGGUAACAAGCAAAUGACACUAUGGUAGUGAGGUACCACACUUUCUAUUGGAAAUUUUCAUCGUCAUCCUCACAUAGGAGUAACCUCCAAAAGGCAGAACCCAUGGAAAACAAAGAC
rnacentral:sRNA from 1 species